CCCUUAGAUGUUCUGGGCAGCACGCGCGCUACAAUGGUCUUCGCAAACGGAUGCAUUCUCGAAGGAGAAUGCCAAUCUUGGAAUCUAUGCCUUGGUCGGGACAGUUGCUUGCAAUUUUUCGACUCGAACCAGGAAUUCCUUGUAAUCGUGAUUCAUCACAUCACGAUGAAUACGUCCCUGCCCUUUGUACACACCGCCCGUCGCUCCUACCGAUCGAAGAGUUAGGUGAAUUGUUUUGAUCGAUAAGAUUUGACUAUGGUCAACUCUCGUUGUGAAAUUCUGUGAAUCUGACUGUUUAGAGGAAGGAAAAGGCGUAAC
rnacentral:rRNA from 1 species